UGGAUGUAUGGAUGUAUGUGUAUGUCUUUGUGUAUUAAAAUAAUAAGUAUGUAAGCAAAUACAUACAUACAUACAUGCA